rnacentral:lncRNA from 1 species
CAAGAAAUGAGCUGGGCUUGGCCGUUCUGGAUCAGGGUACAAAGAAAAUUGCUCUAUUUUCAUUGUUUGCAGAUGGGCCAUGCCUGGAAUUCUGAGUUGGAAUCUCCCAUCAAGUCAGAGGACAGUGAUUUCCAGUCCCUUCCUGACUGGGAUUCAAGCUUGGAUCUGGAUGUGAUGAGCUGGAGAAAUACUGAAGAGGAGGCCAUGGGGAGGCUAGAGGGGAGCAGCCAAGAGGCAGACCAGGAGAUGGAGCUGAGUGAGCCUCUCUGGAAGAAUGACAGUGAAGAUAACCACGAGGCAGAGAAGCCAUGUGAAAACGACAGUCUUCUCCAGUUCCUCUUGGAGGUAACCCAGAUGUUGGAAUCUUGCUGCAUUGGCGGCACAGAGUCAUCUCAGACUCCGUGGGAUUAUUGUGGCUCUGUGGGGAAGCAGAGUGAUGGGGAGGAAAUGAGGUGCCAGGAAAAGACCACGGGAACAGCAGGCUCAGGAGCAGAGGAAAGUCAACUGCGCAUCCUGGCAAAAGAUGAGGAAGAACUCUUCCUGGGAAGAGAGGGAGAGACUGAAGACACACCUGGAGAACCCCCUUCAGAUGAGCUGCAUUCACCUGAGAUGAGUGCUCAGGCCCUGGAUCAAGAUGACAGUGACAGCAGCUCUGCAGCCUCAGUGCUGGACUCCACAGGCUCUCCCAACAGGCACCUGUAAGUAGCUGGUUCUGCACUCUUGGAAACGCAGCAGAACAGAGUCACUUCCCUUGUCACACAUGAGAACGAGUGCAUGGCCAGGUCACAUCCAGGAAGGUGAGGUAGCCAAGCAGAGCAGGAGGGAGGGAGGUAACUUGUGCUGUCUCUGGGUUUGCUGGUAUUGUAGGGCAUUGAUCCUAAGGUGAAGUGAGAAGAGUAGAGAUUAAAUAGGAGAUUAAAUGGAAAAUACAUGUUUUGUGAUUUCUCAAGUGAAACAGGCCUUGUGUGAGCUGCACAUCAGGCUCUGUCAGGCAGUGCACAGCCCAGCAUUUCCA